GACGAACGCUGGCGGCGUGCUUAACACAUGCAAGUCGAACGGAAAGGCCCUGCUUUUGUGGGGUGCUCGAGUGGCGAACGGGUGAGUAACACGUGAGUAACCUGCCCUUGACUUUGGGAUAACUUCAGGAAACUGGGGCUAAUACCGGGUAGGAGCUCCUGCUGCAUGGUGGGGGUUGGAAAGUUUCGGCGGUUGGGGAUGGACUCGCGGCUUAUCAGCUUGUUGGUGGGGUAGUGGCUUACCAAGGCUUUGACGGGUAGCCGGCCUGAGAGGGUGACCGGCCACAUUCGGACUGAGAUACGGCCCAGACUCCUACGGGAGGCAGCAGUGGGGAAUAUUGCACAAUGGGCGGAAGCCUGAUGCAGCAACGCCGCGUGCGGGAUGACGGCCUUCGGGUUGUAAACCGCUUUCGCCUGUGACGAAGCGUGAGUGACGGUAAUGGGUAAAGAAGCACCGGCUAACUACGUG
rnacentral:rRNA from 1 species